AAACCUUGAUUCUUGAAUCAGGGCCCGGUGCUGGGAGCUCCUUGUCGCUGUAUAACACUAGCAACGGACACAUCCAUCACCGGCUGGGGUGCGGUCAUGAGUGGCCACCCUGCCCACGGUCUGUGGAGUGGUCGCCAUCUGACAUGGCAUAUCAAUUGUCUGGAGAUGCUGGUCGUGUAUCAAGCAUUGAAAGACUUCCUCCUAGACCUGAGAGGUCACCAUGUGUUGGUGCGCACCGACAACACAUCAGUGGUCUCUUACAUCAACCACCAGGGAGGUCUGCGUUCGCGACCCUUGUACAAGCUGGCGCACCAGAUCCUUGUGUGGUCCCCGGACAAACUCCUCUCACUCAGAGCAGUAUAUAUUCCUGGACAUCUCAAUGUAGGAGCAGAUGUCCUGUCAAGACAGGGGCCAAGGCCCGGGGAAUGGAUGCUUCACCCCAAGGUGGUGAAGCAAAUAUGGAGAAUUUUUGGCCAGACUCAGGUGGACCUCUUUGCUACUCAGGAGACAUCGCAAUGUUCCCUCUGGUUCUCCCUAGUUCAUUCAGCUACUCUGGGACUGGACGCUAUGGUACAGACUUGGCCGAGGCUUCGUCUGUACGCUUUUCCCCCGAUCGCUCUGCUCCCGGGAGUUCUGGCGAGAGUACGGACGGGACGGGACGGGGUUUGGUUGUUAUUAGUAGCCCCAUUCUUGCCGGGCCGAGUAUGGUUCUCAGAUCUGAUCUUGCUCCUCGGACGGCUCUCCAUGGGAGAUUCCAAUCAGGAGAGAUCUACUCUCACAGACGCAGGGUACGAUAAUUCACCCCCGCCCGGUGUUGUGGAAACCAUGGGUGUGGCCCCUGAGGGGGCACAGCUCAUAGGAUCCGGUCUCUCAACCGAGGUUGUUGAGACCAUCCUCCAAUCGAGAGCUCCCUCAACGAGGAAACUGUACACCAUGAGAUGGAAACUCUUCACCUCAUGGUGCAGAGACCGCCAGCUUGACCCAGCUAACUGCCCAGUUGGUACAGUUCUGGAGUUUUUACAAGCCAGGUGCUCUGCAGGGUUGACCCACUCCACCUUAAAAGUUUACGUGGCGGCCAUUGCGGCCUACCAUGUCCUCCUUGGUAGCCAGUCAGUGGGUAGACACCCCCUAUUGACACGUUUCCUCUGCGGUGUGCUGAGGCUGAGGCCUCCAGUAUGGUCCCGUGUUCCCCCCUGGGACUUGGUUGUGGUAUUAGAGGCUCUCUUUAAAGCUCCAUUCGAGCCGAUUCAGGGGAUAUCAGACCAUUAUCUGACUGUAAAGACGGCUUUCUUGCCGGCUAUUACUUCUCCAAAGACAGUUGGAGACCUUCGGGCCCUCUCAGUGGUCCCUGCUCAUCUCGACUUUGCGUCCGGCAUGGCUAAAGCAUUUUUAUACCCUCGAGCGGGUUAUAUUUCAAAGUUUCUCUUCGUCAAACCACAACCAAUAGUGCUGCAGGCCUUCUGUCCUCCUCCCUUCCGGGAGACUGACCAGAAGAAGCUUAAUUGUAUGUGUCCAGUUUGAGCGCUGGACACGUACAUCCACAGAGCUGCCAUGUGGAGAAGGACGGACCAACUGCUCGUGUGCUACGGUCCUCCCAAAAGGGGUCUACCUGCAACUAAGCUGUAAAGACGGCUUUCUUGCCGGCUAUUACUUCUCCAAAGACAGUUGGAGACCUUCGGGCCCUCUCAGUGGUCCCUGCUCAUCUCGACUUUGCGUCCGGCAUGGCUAAAGCAUUUUUAUACCCUCGAGCGGGUUAUAUUUCAAAGUUUCUCUUCGUCAAACCACAACCAAUAGUGCUGCAGGCCUUCUGUCCUCCUCCCUUCCGGGAGACUGACCAGAAGAAGCUUAAUUGUAUGUGUCCAGUUUGAGCGCUGGACACGUACAUCCACAGAGCUGCCAUGUGGAGAAGGACGGACCAACUGCUCGUGUGCUACGGUCCUCCCAAAAGGGGUCUACCUGCAACUAAGCAAACCCUCAGCCAGUGGAUAGUUGAGGCUAUCAACCUGGCUUAUGAGUCCUCUGACCUCCCC
rnacentral:lncRNA from 1 species